rnacentral:rRNA from 1 species
AGUGAACGCUGGCGGUAGGCCUAACACAUGCAAGUCGAACGGCAGCACAGUAAUAGCUUGCUCUUACGGGUGGCGAGUGGCGGACGGGUGAGGAAUACAUCGGAAUCUACUUUUUCGUGGGGGAUAACGUAGGGAAACUUACGCUAAUACCGCAUACGACCUACGGGUGAAAGCAGGGGAUCUUCGGACCUUGCGCGAUUGAAUGAGCCGAUGUCGGAUUAGCUAGUUGGCGGGGUAAAGGCCCACCAAGGCGACGAUGCGUAGCUGGUCUGAGAGGAUGAUCAGCCACACUGGAACUGAGACACGGUCCAGACUCCUACAGGAGGCAGCAGUGGGGAAUAUUGGACAAUGGGCGCAAGACUGAUCCAGCCAUACCGCGUGGGUGAAGAAGGCCUUCGGGUUGUAAAGCCCUUUUGUUGGGAAAGAAAAGCAGCAGGUUAAUACCCCGCUGUUCUGACGGUACCCAAAGAAUAAGCACCGGCUAACUACGUG